rnacentral:lncRNA from 1 species
AUGAACAGUAGACAGACACCCGAAUCUUCUCUAGAGGUGGUUAAACGUCUGAUGCAAAGUAUUGGUCAUCACAGAAUAGGAAUUUCCGGCUUUGAUCUCCUUUGUGGAUGCUCGUCCUCCAGUUCAAGGCUAACGCUUGCUUUAUUGGCUUUCUACCCAACUGCUGAUGGGUGUGGCACCAUUACCCAUAGAGGCCAGUCAGCAUCCUAAACCAGGCCACUAGGGCACGGAUUUUAUUCACUUUCCCUACUCUGUUUAGACUCACAUCUGUGAGAGCCCUCUUGACGCUAACACUGAGAGCCGAGCUACUUGCUUAACCACAGGAAGCAAGGGAUGAUGAGUCCAAACAGAAGUAGAGCCAUUCCAAAGUCCUGCAUCACCACAAUGCCAAUAGUGUUGGCCUGGGGGUGGGGUUCUUAAAGGAAGGCUGCCUCUCUGCAUGUGGGUAUCUCUGCUAGGAAAACAGCCACUGCUUUCCCUUAAGACUGUAUAGAAGCACCCAAAGUGACUCACCUUAGAAAGGAUGGAGGGUUACUGCUGAGGUCAUAAUGCGAUGUCAACUAACAGAGCUGAGGCACAUCAAGUUUUCUAACCUUUGAAAUGGCUGUCAAAUGAAGGGGG